GUCCCAGUAGGGCAAUAGAGAGCGCGUUAGACUUCUAAUUGAAAGGUUGUGGUUUUGAAUCCCACCUGGGAUG